rnacentral:snRNA from 1 species
GUGGGAUAGCUGGGUCAAAUGCACAUAUACUAAAAUUGGAACGAUACAGAGAAGAUUAACAUGGCCCCUGCAUAAGGAUUACACGUAAAAUGCCUUUU